GAUGAACGCUGGCGGCGUGCCUAAUACAUGCAAGUCGAGCGAACGGACGAGAAGCUUGCUUCUCUGAUGUUAGCGGCGGACGGGUGAGUAACACGUGGAUAACCUACCUAUAAGACUGGGAUAACUUCGGGAAACCGGAGCUAAUACCGGAUGAUAUUUUGAACCGCAUGGUUCAAAAGUGAAAGACGGUCUUGCUGUCACUUAUAGAUGGAUCCGCGCUGCAUUAGCUAGUUGGUAAGGUAACGGCUUACCAAGGCAACGAUGCAUAGCCGACCUGAGAGGGUGAUCAGCCACACUGGAACUGAGACACGGUCCAGACUCCUACGGGAGGCAGCAGUAGGGAAUCUUCCGCAAUGGGCGAAAGCCUGACGGAGCAACGCCGCGUGAGUGAUGAAGGUCUUCGGAUCGUAAAACUCUGUUAUUAGGGAAGAACAUAUGUGUAAGUAACUGUGCACAUCUUGACGGUACCUAAUCAGAAAGCCACGGCUAACUUCGUG
rnacentral:rRNA from 1 species